rnacentral:tRNA from 1 species
GGUAGGUUAGCAUCAGAGGUUUAUAUAACUACACUAAUACUGUAGGAUAUAUAUGGGUUCGAGUCCCAGACCUACCA